rnacentral:rRNA from 1 species
UUGAACGCUGGCGGCAUGCUUUACACAUGCAAGUCGAACGGCAGCGGGGGCUUCGGCCCGCCGGCGAGUGGCGAACGGGUGAGUAAUGCAUCGGAACGUACCCAGUCGUGGGGGAUAACUACGCGAAAGCUGUGCUAAUACCGCAUACGCCCUGAGGGGGAAAGUGGGGGAUCGCAAGACCUCACGUUAUUCGAGCGGCCGACGUCUGAUUAGCUAGUUGGUGGGGUAAAGGCUCACCAAGGCGACGAUCAGUAGCGGGUCUGAGAGGAUGAUCCGUCACACUGGAACUGAGACACGGUCCAGACUCCUACGGGAGGCAGCAGUGGGGAAUUUUGGACAAUGGGGGCAACCCUGAUCCAGCCAUUCCGCGUGAGUGAAGAAGGCCUUCGGGUUGUAAAACUCUUUCGGCAGGAACGAAACGGUGAGCUCUAACAUAGCUUGCUAAUGACGGUACCUGAAGAAGAAGCACCGGCUAACUACGU